CUAAUGCUGAUUCAAAGACACCAAGAGAGGGGGCGAAAUGGAAGGUGUGAAAUCACAGAAACCAAGGGAAUGAAAAACUGCAAAUAAAUAAGCCAUCACUUGAUAUCCUGCUACAUCUCCAGGAAUAAAAAGCUGGAAAUAAAUAAGCGAGCCAAGAAGAUUGAUACAUGACUGGAGCCUGAAUGGUAGAACUUUUUCAGAAGUGAGGAGUCUGUUGGCCCAGAAGAUCUGCGGUAAG
rnacentral:lncRNA from 1 species